UACGAAGGGGGCUAGCGUUGCUCGGAAUCACUGGGCGUAAAGCGCACGUAGGCGGACUCUUAAGUCGGUGGUGAAAUCCUGGAGCUCAACUCCAGAACUGCCUUCGAUACUGAGAGUCUCGAGUCCGAGAGAGGUGAGUGGAACUGCGAGUGUAGAGGUGAAAUUCGUAGAUAUUCGCAAGAACACCAGUGGCGAAGGCGGCUCACUGGCUCGGUACUGACGCUGAGGAGCGAAAGCAUGGGGAGCGAACAGG
rnacentral:rRNA from 1 species